GUCAGUCCAACUUUAGCUACUGGACAGAUGGCCUCACUUUUGACUCUAGAAUACUGUGGUAUAUAGAGGAGUUCAUGGUCGACUCAAAGAGUGCAAGGUGUCCAGGUCCUGUGGCUGCAAAACAAGCCCAAAUCAUCACCCCUCCACCUCCAUUGUUGACGACAAAGAGGAUGGCAAUAAGAGCACUCUGGACAACUGAGGAUAACAAGCAACACUGAAUAGCAAAGCAAGUCAGUCCAGAAA